AUUGAACGCUGGCGGCAGGCCUAACACAUGCAAGUCGAACGAGUGGCGGACGGGUGAGUAAUGUCUGGGAACCUGCCUGAUGGAGGGGGAUACCUACUGGAAACGGUAGCUAAUCCCGCAUACCAUCGGAUGUUCCCAGAUGGGAUUAGCUAGUAGGUGGGGUAAAGGCUCACCUAGGCGACGAUCCCUAGCUGGUCUGAGAGGAUGACCAGCCAAACUGGAACUGAGACACGGUCCAGACGCCUACGGGAGGCAGCAGUGGGGAAUAUUGCACAAUGGGCGCAAGCCUGAUGCAGCCAUGCCGCGUGUAUGAAGAAGGCCUUCGGGUUGUAAAGUACUGUCAGAGGGGAGGCGGUACCAGAAGAAGAAGCACCGGCUAACUCCGUGCCAGCCGCCGCGGUAAUAC
rnacentral:rRNA from 1 species